UAGGGAAUCUUCCGCAAUGGACGAAAGUCUGACGGAGCAACGCCGCGUGAGUGAAGAAGGAUUUCGGUUCGUAAAACUCUGUUGUUAGGGAAGAAAAAAUGUAUAGUAACUAUAUACAAAAGAGACGGUACCUAACCAGAAAUCCACGGCUAACUACGUGCCAGCAGCCGCGUUAAUACGUAGGUGGCAAGCGUUGUCCGGAAUUAUUGGGCGUAAAACUCGCGAAGGUGGUUUAGAAAGUCUGAUGUGAAAGCCCACGGCUCAACCGUGGAGGGUCAUUGGAAACUAAUAAACUUGAGUGCAGGAGAGAAAAGUGGAAUUCCUAGUGUAGCGGUGAAAUGCGUAGAGAUUAGGAGGAACACCGGUGGCGAAAGCGGCUUUUUGGCCUGCAACUGACACUGAGGCGCGAAAGCGUGGGGAGCAAACAGG
rnacentral:rRNA from 1 species